AUAGUAUAUAAACAGUCACAGAAGCUGAUGGACCAUCAUCCAUCCAGCACUACCUUCACUUCUCUUCAAUCUUGGAAAAACGGACUUAGUAGCCAUGAAGGUCCUCAUCCUCGCCUGCCUGGUGGCUCUUGCUCUUGCAAGGGAGAAGGAACAAUCCAAUGCAUCCUCUGAGACCAUAGAAAGCCUUUCAAGCAGUGAGG